rnacentral:lncRNA from 1 species
GGCAUGCUACUGCUGAGCUGCAUCCCAAGCCCCUUUUAUUUUUUUCUUUUGAGACAAGGUCUUCAAUAAGUUGCUGAAGCUGGCCUCAAAUUUGCAACCCUCCUUCCUUAGCCUCCCAAGUCUCUGGGAUUACAGGCAUGUGCCACCAUGCCCAGGCAAAAGCAUUAUUUUUUAAUUAAAUAUUUUUUUAUGUGACUUACCAUCAUAGUCACAGAUAUUGUGGGAAGUAAGGCAUUGGCAUUUCUAACUCAAAGUAUAUAUUAUAUGAAGAUCUAAUAGUGUUUUAUGGUCACUGUGAAAUCACUAUUUACUCGCAAUUUUUUGUAAACUGAUUAUGCGUGCAAACUUAAUUUAACUUGAAAAGCUGAUUUUCUCCCCCACAGAUUCUAAUUUCAGUGACCCCGUUACUGGAGCACCAGUUCAGUACUUACAAAGACUUUCCAAAAUGGCUCUUUUGGAGUUUAAUACCAUUCGUCAGGAAACAAGUAAAAAAUCAAAAAAAGGCAAGAAGCGAGAGUUACGAGACUACUGAUAAAUACCAUACGGUGUGAUGCUUUCUUCACUGCUUUUUAAGGUUUAUAGUUGCUUUUUUUUUUUUUUGAUAUGUGAUAUGAUGUGCAAUGAUUUACAUAAAAAUGGAAAUGUAAAUAUGAAAUAAAUAUUUUAUGUUAUACGUGGAAUGGUUUGUAUUUUGUUAACAUCACAAAGAGUCAUUUAAAUUAAGGGAAUAUAAGCAUUAGAGAAAUUAUAUUCCCUGAAUUUUAUGCACAUUGAUUUUUUUCCUUUAGACUUAAUUGACUCAACAUUAUUUGAGUACCUGUCUGUGCAAUGAACUUUGCUGCAGAAAGUCUUCCUGGAAGACAAAAGAAGACGGAAAGAGGAGGAGAGUCGGUGUCCUUGCAUGUUUUAUAUUAAUUUACACAAAUACACUAUUAAUAUGUAUGUGUUUGUCUGCAUUAUUACAAUGGAUUAGUUCCUAGGAGGAUAACUAAUUUAAAUGGUUUUGUUUAUAUUUUGAUUGGGAUCAUAUGAAUUUUGAUCAUAUGAGAACAUGUGAAUUUUCAAAAUCAUAUAAAUUUUGAUUGAGAAUGAUUCAAAUACUACCUGUAUUAAAAGGUAUUCUCAAUAAAAAUUUGGUGACCUUUCUUGAACGAGCACUUCUUUGACUGUCAGGUGGAU